UCAAAGAUGAUAACAACAAUUCCUCAUGGUCAGUAAGUCAAUUGUUCCAAGCAUCUAUGGAAUCCAACAAUUCCUCCCUCAAGAUCAUUCAUGGUUUGAAGAUUUUUUCAUCAUAAGAUCGAUGUCAAUUCGGCCCUAAAACCGGAUACCAACUGGCGAAAACCUUGCAGCUAGAGGAUUGAUGUUGCCUUCCAUGGCACCUUGUGUAGUAAACAACCUGACACUUCUCUUCAUUUAUUCCUGCAUUGUCCCUUUUCUCUUGCUUAAUGGAACCGGCUUGCUUCAAUCUUAAAUUUGAAUAUUGAUCUUAACUCAUACUCCUCAA
rnacentral:lncRNA from 1 species